GACAGAGGGUGCAAACGUUGUUCGGAAUUACUGGGCGUAAAGCGCGUGUAGGCGGCUAAGUAAGUCGGGCGUGAAAUCCCACGGCUCAACCGUGGAAGUGCACUCGAAACUGCAUAGCUAGAGUCCUGGAGAGGAAGGUGGAAUGCUUGGUGUAGAGGUGAAAUUCGUAGAUAUCAAGCGGAACACCAGUGGCGAAGGCGGCUUACUGGUCCAUUACUGACGCUGAGGUGCGAAAGCGUGGGGAGCAAACAGG
rnacentral:rRNA from 1 species